rnacentral:misc_RNA from 1 species
UACGGAGGGUGCAAGCGUUGUCCGGAAUCAUUGGGUGUAAAGGGUGUGCAGGCGGAAGUCUAAGUCGGAGGUGAAAUCUUGCCGCUUAACGGUAAAAGGGCCUUCGAAACUGGAUUUCUUGAGUACGGGAGAGGGUAGUGGAAUUCCCAGUGUAGAGGUGAAAUUCGUAGAUAUUGGGAAGAACACCGGUGGCGAAGGCGGCUACCUGGCCCGGAACUGACGCUGAUGGACGAAAGCGUAGGUAGCGAACAGG